AAUCAACGCUGGCGGCGUGCCUAACACAUGCAAGUCGAACGCGAAAGCCCUUUCGGGGGUAAGUAGAGUGGCGUCCGGGUGAGUAACACGUAGGUAAUCUACCUUCGGGUGGGGAAGUAACUCGCCGAAAGGACGAGCUAAUACCGCAUAAUGCAGCGGCACCCUAAUGGUGAUUAGUUGUUAAAGCGGGGGAGUCGUAAGACCUCGCGCCUGAAGAGGAGCCUGCGGCAGAUUAGCUAGNGGUUGAGGUAAUGGCUCACCAAGGCUUCGAUCUGUAGCUGGUCUGAGAGGACGGCCAGCCACACUGGCACUGACACACGGGCCAGACUCCUACGGGAGGCAGC
rnacentral:rRNA from 1 species